UGCAAGUCGAACGAGAGAGAGGAAGCUUGCUUCCUCAAUCGAGUGGCGAACGGGUGAGUAACGCGUGAGGAACCUGCCUCAAAGAGGGGGACAACAGUUGGAAACGACUGCUAAUACCGCAUAAGCCCACGGGUCGGCAUCGACCAGAGGGAAAAGGAGCAAUCCGCUUUGAGAUGGCCUCGCGUCCGAUUAGCUAGUUGGUGAGGUAACGGCCCACCAAGGCAACGAUCGGUAGCCGGACUGAGAGGUUGAACGGCCACAUUGGGACUGAGACACGGCCCAGACUCCUACGGGAGGCAGCAGUGGGGAAUAUUGCACAAUGGGGGAAACCCUGAUGCAGCGACGCCGCGUGGAGGAAGAAGGUCUUCGGAUUGUAAACUCCUGUUGUUGAGGAAGAUAAUGACGGUACUCAACAAGGAAGUGACGGCUAACUACGUGCCAGCAGCCGCGGUAAAACGUAGGUCACAAGCGUUGUCCGGAAUUACUGGGUGUAAAGGGAGCGCAGGCGGGAAGACAAGUUGGAAGUGAAAUCUAUGGGCUCAACCCAUAAACUGCUUUCAAAACUGUUUUUCUUGAGUAGUGCAGAGGUAGGCGGAAUUCCCGGUGUAGCGGUGGAAUGCGUAGAUAUCGGGAGGAACACCAGUGGCGAAGGCGGCCUACUGGGCACCAACUGACGCUGAGGCUCGAAAGUGUGGGUAGCAAACAGGAUUAGAUACCCUGG
rnacentral:rRNA from 1 species